rnacentral:rRNA from 1 species
GAUGAACGCUGGCGGCGUGCCUAAUACAUGCAAGUCGAGCGAACAGACGAGGAGCUUGCUCCUCUGACGUUAGCGGCGGACGGGUGAGUAACACGUGGAUAACCUACCUAUAAGACUGGGAUAACUUCGGGAAACCGGAGCUAAUACCGGAUAAUAUAUUGAACCGCAUGGUUCAAUAGUGAAAGACGGUUUUGCUGUCACUUAUAGAUGGAUCCUCGCCGCAUUAGCUAGUUGGUAAGGUAACGGCUUACCAAGGCAACGAUGCGUAGCCGACCUGAGAGGGUGAUCGGCCACACUGGAACUGAGACACGGUCCAGACGCCUACGGGAGGCAGCAGUAGGGAAGCUUCCGCAAUGGGCGAAAGCUUGACGGAGCAACGCCGCGUGAGUGAUGAAGGUCUGCGGAUCGUAAAACUCUGUUAUUAGGGAAGAACAAAUGUGUAAGUAACUAUGCACGUCUUGACGGUACCUAAUCAGAAAGCCACGGCUAACUACGUG